ACACCGUGAAAAUUGUAUCAUAGUUUCUUCAGUUACAUUCCAUUGUAAGUGAUAUUACUUGCUUAAAUAAUCUAAAAUGUCAAGAAUCAUUCUUAUCUUCGUCAUCAUUGCAAUACUUUCCUUGGUUGCAACAGAAGCUUGCCGUUUGGGAGGUGAACCCUGCCAUAGCGGUAGCGACUGCUGUGCAGGAACCUCUUGUAGUGGGAUACUGAUGCAGGGCAAAGGUCGUAGAUGCGUUAUAACUUUUUAAAAAGUUUAUAAAAAUUUGUAACUGUGAAAUAACAUGUUAUUUCAACAAAGCUAUCAAUAAAAAUAUUUCGUGUUGAAA